UUCCAGGCAAAUCCGGAAAAUCAAGGCUGAGGCGUGAUGACGAGGCACUACGGUGCUGAAGCAACAAAUGCCCUGCUUCCAGGAAAAGCCUCUAAGCAUCAGGUAACAUCAAAUCGUACCCCAAACCGACACAGGUGGUCAGGUAGAGAAUACCAAGGCGCUUGAGAGAACUCGGGUGAAGGAACUAGGCAAAAUGGUGCCGUAACUUCGGGAGAAGGCACGCUGAUAUGUAGGUGAAGCGACUUGCUCGUGGAGCUGAAAUCAGUCGAAGAUACCAGCUGGCUGCAACUGUUUAUUAAAAACACAGCACUGUGCAAACACGAAAGUGGACGUAUACGGUGUGACGCCUGCCCGGUGCCGGAAGGUUAAUUGAUGGGGUCAGCGCAAGCGAAGCUCUUGAUCGAAGCCCCGGUAAACGGCGGCCGUAACUAUAACGGUCCUAAGGUAGCGAAAUUCCUUGUCGGGUAAGUUCCGACCUGCACGAAUGGCGUAAUGAUGGCCAGGCUGUCUCCACCCGAGACUCAGUGAAAUUGAACUCGCUGUGAAGAUGCAGUGUACCCGCGGCAAGACGGAAAGACCCCGUGAACCUUUACUAUAGCUUGACACUGAACAUUGAGCCUUGAUGUGUAGGAUAGGUGGGAGGCUUUGAAGUGUGGACGCCAGUCUGCAUGGAGCCGACCUUGAAAUACCACCCUUUAAUGUUUGAUGUUCUAACGUGGACCCGUGAUCCGGGUUGCGGACAGUGUCUGGUGGGUAGUUUGACUGGGGCGGUCUCCUCCUAAAGAGUAACGGAGGAGCACGAAGGUUGGCUAAUCCUGGUCGGACAUCAGGAGGUUAGUGCAAUGGCAUAAGCCAGCUUGACUGCGAGCGUGACGGCGCGAGCAGGUGCGAAAGCAGGUCAUAGUGAUCCGGUGGUUCUGAAUGGAAGGGCCAUCGCUCAACGGAUAAAAGGUACUCCGGGGAUAACAGGCUGAUACCGCCCAAGAGUUCAUAUCGACGGCGGUGUUUGGCACCUCGAUGUCGGCUCAUCACAUCCUGGGGCUGAAGUAGGUCCCAAGGGUAUGGCUGUUCGCCAUUUAAAGUGGUACGCGAGCUGGGUUUAGAACGUCGUGAGACAGUUCGGUCCCUAUCUGCCGUGGGCGCUGGAGAACUGAGGGGGGCUGCUCCUAGUACGAGAGGACCGGAGUGGACGCAUCACUGGUGUUCGGGUUGUCAUGCCAAUGGCACUGCCCGGUAGCUAAAUGCGGAAGAGAUAAGUGCUGAAAGCAUCUAAGCACGAAACUUGCCCCGAGAUGAGUUCUCCCUGACUCCUUGAGAGUCCUGAAGGAACGUUGAAGACGACGACGUUGAUAGGCCGGGUGUGUAAGCGCAGCGAUGCGUUGAGCUAACCGGUACUAAUGAACCGUGAGGCUUAACCUUACAACGCCGAAGGUGUUU
rnacentral:rRNA from 1 species